rnacentral:tRNA from 1 species
GGGCCCGUAGCUCAGUUGGUAGAGCAAUUGACUUUUAAUCAAUAGGUCUCCGGUUCGAACCCGGACGGGCUCACCA